rnacentral:snoRNA from 1 species
ACUGCACAUCCUUAGAGCUUAGAGCUGAGGCUACUGGCUGAUGAACCCACAAGUGUAGGUAGUGUGCUACACGAGGGGCAAGUCUUUCAUUAACACCACAAGGGUCUCUGAUAGUAAUUCUUUCUACAAAU